AUACGGAGGGGGUUAGCGUUGUUCGGAAUUACUGGGCGUAAAGCGCACGUAGGCGGACUGGAAAGUUGGGGGUGAAAUCCCGGGGCUCAACCCCGGAACUGCCUCCAAAACUUCCAAUCUAGAGAUCGAGAGAGGUAAGUGGAAUUCCUAGUGUAGAGGUGAAAUUCGUAGAUAUUAGGAGGAACACCAGUGGCGAAGGCGGCUUACUGGCUCGAUACUGACGCUGAGGUGCGAAAGCGUGGGGAGCAAACAGAAUUAGAUACCCUAGUAGUCC
rnacentral:rRNA from 1 species